GAUGAACGCUGACAGAAUGCUUAACACAUGCAAGUCAACUUGAACUUCGGUUUGGGUGGCGGACGGGUGAGUAACGCGUAAAGAACUUGCCUCACAGCUAGGGACAACAUUUGGAAACGAAUGCUAAUACCUGAUAUUAUGAUUAUAUGGCAUCGUAUAAUUAUGAAAGCUAUAUGCGCUGUGAGAGAGCUUUGCGUCCCAUUAGCUAGUUGGAGAGGUAACAGCUCACCUAGGCGAUGAUGGGUAGCCGGCCUGAGAGGGUGAUCGGCCACAAGGGGACUGAGACACGGCCCUUACUCCUACGGGAGGCAGCAGUGGGGAAUAUUGGACAAUGGACCGAGAGUCUGAUCCAGCAAUUCUGUGUGCACGAUGAAGUUUCUCGGAAUGUAAAGUGCUUUCAGUUGGGAAGAAAAAAAUGACGGUACCAACAGAAGAAGUGACGGCUAAAUACGUG
rnacentral:rRNA from 1 species